CCUACGGGUGGCAGCAGUGGGGAAUAUUGGACAAUGGGGGCAACCCUGAUCCAGCCAUGCCGCGUGUGUGAAGAAGGCCCUCGGGUUGUAAAGCACUUUCAGUGAGGAAGAACGCCUGGUGGUUAAUACCCAUCAGGAAAGACAUCACUCACAGAAGAAGCACCGGCUAACUCCGUGCCAGCAGCCGCGGUAAUACGGAGGGUGCGAGCGUUAAUCGGAAUUACUGGGCGUAAAGCGCGCGUAGGUGGCUUGAUAAGCCGGUUGUGAAAGCCCCGGGCUCAACCUGGGAACGGCAUCCGGAACUGUCAAGCUAGAGUGCAGGAGAGGAAGGUAGAAUUCCCGGUGUAGCGGUGAAAUGCGUAGAGAUCGGGAGGAAUACCAGUGGCGAAGGCGGCCUUCUGGACUGACACUGACACUGAGGUGCGAAAGCGUGGGUAGCACACAGGAUUAGAUACCCGAGUAGUC
rnacentral:rRNA from 1 species